CCUAGGGGAGGCAGCAGUGAGGAAUAUUGGUCAAUGGUCGGGAGACUGAACCAGCCAAGCCGCGUGAGGGAUGAAGGUACAGAGUAUCGUAAACCUCUUUUGUCAGGGAACAAAGGCGGGGUCGCGUCCCCGGAUGAGUGUACCUGAAGAAAAAGCAUCGGCUAACUCCGUGCCAGCAGCCGUGGUAAUACGGGGGAUGUGAGCGUUAUCCGGAUGUGUUGGGGUUAAAGGGUGCGCGGGGGGUCUGUUAAGUCAGGCGGUAAAACCCGGGGCCUACCCCCCGGCCCGCCGUUGAAACUGGCAGACUCGAGUUGGAGAGAGGUAUGCGGAAUGCGCGGUGUAGCGGUGAAAUGCAUAGAUAUCGCGAAGAACUGCGAUGGCGAAGGCAGCAUGCCGGCUCCACACUGACGCUGAGGCACGAAAGCGUGGGUAUCGAACAGGAUUAGAUACCCCUGUAGUC
rnacentral:rRNA from 1 species